CUGAUGCAGCGACGCCGCGUGAGGGAUGACGGCCUUCGGGUUGUAAACCUCUUUCAGUAGGGAAGAAGCGAAAGUGACGGUACCUGCAGAAGAAGCGCCGGCUAACUACGUGCCAGCAGCCGCGGUAAUACGUAGGGCGCAAGCGUUAUCCGGAAUUAUUGGGCGUAAAGAGCUCGUAGGCGGUUUGUCGCGUCUGCCGUGAAAGUCCGGGGCUCAACUCCGGAUCUGCGGUGGGUACGGGCAGGCUAGAGUGAUGUAGGGGAGACUGGAAUUCCUGGUGUAGCGGUGAAAUGCGCAGAUAUCAGGAGGAACACCGAUGGCGAAGGCAGGUCUCUGGGCAUUAACUGACGCUGAGGAGCGAAAGCAUGGGGAGCGAACAGGAUUAGAUACCCUGGUAGUCCAUGCCGUAAACGUUGGGCACUAGGUGUGGGGGACAUUCCACGUUUUCCGCGCCGUAGCUAACGCAUUAAGUGCCCCGCCUGGGGAGUACGGCCGCAAGGCAACUC
rnacentral:rRNA from 1 species